rnacentral:rRNA from 1 species
UACGUAGGGUGCAGGCGUUAAUCGGAAUUACUGGGCGUAAAGCGUGCGCAGGCGGCUCCUUAAGUCAGAUGUGAAAGCCCCGGGCUUAACCUGGGAACUGCGUUUGAAACUGGGGAGCUAGAGUGUAGAAGAGGGGGGUGGAAUUCCGCGUGUAGCAGUGAAAUGCGUAGAUAUCGAGAGGAACACCUGCGGCGAAGGCGGGUUGCUGGGCUGACACUGACGCUGAAGCGCGAAAGCUAAGGGAGCGAACGGG